GGUUAAGCGACUAAGCGUACACGGUGGAUGCCCUGGCAGUCAGAGGCGAUGAAGGACGUGCUAAUCUGCGAUAAGCGUCGGUAAGGUGAUAUGAACCGUUAUAACCGGCGAUUUCCGAAUGGGGAAACCCAGUGUGAUUCGUCACACUAUCAUUAACUGAAUCCAUAGGUUAAUGAGGCGAACCGGGGGAACUGAAACAUCUAAGUACCCCGAGGAAAAGAAAUCAACCGAGAUUCCCCCAGUAGCGGCGAGCGAACGGGGAGCAGCCCAGAGCCUGAAUCAGUGUGUGUGUUAGUGGAAGCGUCUGGAAAGGCGCGCGAUACAGGGUGACAGCCCCGUACACAAAAAUGCACAUAUUGUGAGCUCGAUGAGUAGGGCGGGACACGUGGUAUCCUGUCUGAAUAUGGGGGGACCAUCCUCCAAGGCUAAAUACUCCUGACUGACCGAUAGUGAACCAGUACCGUGAGGGAAAGGCGAAAAGAACCCCGGCGAGGGGAGUGAAAAAGAACCUGAAACCGUGUACGUACAAGCAGUGGGAGCCUCUUUAUGGGGUGACUGCGUACCUUUUGUAUAAUGGGUCAGCGACUUAUAUUCUGUAGCAAGGUUAACCGAAUAGGGGAGCCGAAGGGAAACCGAGUCUUAACUGGGCGUUAAGUUGCAGGGUAUAGACCCGAAACCCGGUGAUCUAGCCAUGGGCAGGUUGAAGGUUGGGUAACACUAACUGGAGGACCGAACCGACUAAUGUUGAAAAAUUAGCGGAUGACUUGUGGCUGGGGGUGAAAGGCCAAUCAAACCGGGAGAUAGCUGGUUCUCCCCGAAAGCUAUUUAGGUAGCGCCUCGUGAAUUCAUCUCCGGGGGUAGAGCACUGUUUCGGCAAGGGGGUCAUCCCGACUUACCAACCCGAUGCAAACUGCGAAUACCGGAGAAUGUUAUCACGGGAGACACACGGCGGGUGCUAACGUCCGUCGUGAAGAGGGAAACAACCCAGACCGCCAGCUAAGGUCCCAAAGUCAUGGUUAAGUGGGAAACGAUGUGGGAAGGCCCAGACAGCCAGGAUGUUGGCUUAGAAGCAGCCAUCAUUUAAAGAAAGCGUAAUAGCUCACUGGUCGAGUCGGCCUGCGCGGAAGAUGUAACGGGGCUAAACCAUG
rnacentral:rRNA from 1 species